UACGGGGGGGGCAAGCGUUGUUCGGAAUUACUGGGCGUAAAGGGUUCGUAGGUGGCCUGCUAAGUCAGACGUGAAAUCCCUCAGCUUAACUGGGGAACUGCGUCUGAUACUGGUGGGCUUGAGUGCAGGAGAGGAACGCGGAAUUCCAGGUGUAGCGGCGAAAUUCGUAGAUAUUCGGCGGAACACCAGUGGCGAAGGCGACUCACUGGCCCGAUACUGACGCUGAGGCGCGAAAGCGUGGGGAGCAAACAGG
rnacentral:rRNA from 1 species